rnacentral:misc_RNA from 1 species
UCAAAACAGCGGACUUCAGGUCCUUGCUGCACCCUUGUCUUUUGCGCACCGUAUUGUUUCCUCGGCGGGCUUGCCUGUCGGUUGGACAUUAUCAAAACCUUUUUGUAGUUGCAAUCAGCGUCAGAAAAACAAUAAUUAUUA